rnacentral:tRNA from 1 species
GGGGUUGUGGCUCAGUGGUAGAGCGCUUGCCUGACAUGUGUGAGGCACUAGGUUCGGUUCCCAGCACCA